UCGCGAGCUGCUGGCCACCCCAGCCCUGCUUUCGUUUCAUCAGCCCCCGUCCCGCUCCAGGGCUGAGCCCCGGACUCCGGCUGCCCGGUGCCCACGCUGGAAACCCGGGUCUUUGGGACCUGGCCUUGGGGCCCCAGGUUUCCAAGCCCCGCCUUGAGCGUCCACACGCACUGCACGGUAACCCUGGCUGACUGCCUCUGGCCAGUCUCUCAGCCGUGCUAACCUCUCCACACGGCGCCAGGGGGCCCGUCUGGCUGGGUCAUUCAGGGCCCUUGGAAUCACUUUCUGUAUCUAGAGCAAGAUGCCAGAUUCUGAUCUUAGUUACAUUGUUGUAAAUCUGGAAGAAGUUUGCCAUCUUCUGAGUUGUUUGCCCUGGGAAGUUGCAUUGCAGUAGGAAUGCAACCAUGAGGAGUUAGGAGACAUGUAUUCAGUCACUUGGAGAAUGUCAGAAAACACUCCAAAAAUCAAUUCAGUGUCAGAACUACUUAAAUCACAGUAUCCAGCCUAUCAAAGCAGGCUUUGUGCCAAAUGAAAAUGCUAGAACUGUUCCAAGGCAUGCAGCAAUUUAACUCUUCAUCUGUCACAGCAUGUGUAGGAGUCAAAUUACAAGUAUAUUCAUAUUUGUGUAUAAUUCCAUCAAACAUGUAAUGGAUGAAUUGAAACUGAACUUUUUCUCAAUUUCUGGAUGACUUUGUCUAGAGGGAAAUGUUAUUUUAAUGGUAGAAGAGCCGCAAUUUGUAGAAAUUGAAUUUUCUGAUGCUGUGCACUAGUAGUGUUCUCAGUUUUAAGCUCUAACUGCUAAAUGUUAGUUUAUUUUUUUUUAACAUGUACAGAUCUGUUAUAUUCCAAACAAUUCUUGGUAUAUUGAUUGAAUAAAGUUACAUAGGGAAAAGUUACCAACUUA